GGAUAGAGGCGCAGCAGUUAUUAUUAAGCUUUUGUUCUAUCGGGUGUUAAUAAAGCCUAAAGGAACUGUUGCCGAAGCAAAGUAACUAUACACCCGUAACUGCUUUGCUGGGUCGGUGCAGAAAAUGUAUCGGACUGUCACGGAUGUGGAGAGCUAUCG
rnacentral:ncRNA from 1 species